AGUGAACGCUGGCGGUAGGCCUAACACAUGCAAGUCGAACGGCAGCACAGUAAGAGCUUGCUCUUACGGGUGGCGAGUGGCGGACGGGUGAGGAAUACAUCGGAAUCUACUUUUUCGUGGGGGAUAACGUAGGGAAACUUACGCUAAUACCGCAUACGACCUACGGGUGAAAGCAGGGGAUCUUCGGACCUUGCGCGAGUGAAUGAGCCGAUGCCGGAUUAGCUAGUUGGCGGGGUAAAGGCCCACCAAGGCGACGAUCCGUAGCUGGUCUGAGAGGAUGAUCAGCCACACUGGAACUGAGACACGGUCCAGACUCCUACGGGAGGCAGCAGUGGGGAAUAUUGGACAAUGGGCGCAAGCCUGAUCCAGCAAUACCGCGUGGGUGAAGAAGGCCUUCGGGUUGUAAAGCCCUUUUGUUGGGAAAGAAAAGCAGCAGGUUAAUACCCCGCUGUUCUGACGGUACCCAAAGAAUAAGCACCGGCUAACUUCGUG
rnacentral:rRNA from 1 species